AAAUCAUUAUGCAGCCCAAGCUGGCCUCAAAUCUGUAGCAACAAUCCAGGAUGUAGGGCACCAUGCUGUCUGCUUCAAACCAAACACUGGUCUCCUAAGGUUAAGGAUAGAUACGCUAAGAUGCCACCCAGAAACUGAGGAGCUCGACCAACCCUCGCCAGCCGUGCGAAAGACUCAUCUCAGAGAUGAAGUUUGGAUUCACCACAGCACAGUGGAGAGCCCUCCACUAGCAGGAACGAGUCAGUGGUAUUUUCAAAGUCCUACCUGGCGGUUGGUCUUGCACCCUGUCGUUCCAUUCAAUUAUUCCAGGUCUUGUUUAAACCCUGCUGUUUCACUCCUGCAGCGGGAUCCGCUCGCUAGAUCAGAGCAGGAAGCAGCGCCAUCGCGAGGCGGCCGGCAGCAGUCCACUCUAGAAGGGACUGCCUCUCGCACUGCCCGGUAACUUCGCAAUGACUACCCAAGUGUAAGCGCAAACUAUUCGUGACAGUUGCGGAAAUGAAGGCGGCUGGUUAAGUGACUUGUAAGUGUACCAUACCUCAAAUUAUCACAUCUAAGUUACAUUUCUUCGAUGAAGUUCGCUUAACACGAGGAGGCCGAGAUGAGAGAGGCGUACAGAUGUUUAAGUAGUUUUGUAAAUAUAAUCUCAAGCCUGGCCUAA